GAGUUUGAUCAUGGCUCAGGAUGAACGCUAGCGGCAGGCUUAAUACAUGCAAGUCGAGGGGCAGCAGCUUUAUAGCAAUAUAGAGGCUGGCGACCGGCAAACGGGUGCGGAACACGUACACAACCUUCCUUGAAUAGGGGGAUAGCCCAUAGAAAUGUGGAUUAAUACCCCGUAAUAUAGCGGUGUGGCAUCACACUGUUAUUAUAGUUUCGGCGAUUCGAGAUGGGUGUGCGGCUGAUUAGGUAGUUGGCGGGGUAAAGGCCCACCAAGCCUUCGAUCAGUAGCUGAUGUGAGAGCAUGAUCAGCCACACGGGCACUGAGACACGGGCCCGACUCCUACGGGAGGCAGCAGUAAGGAAUAUUGGUCAAUGGACGCAAGUCUGAACCAGCCAUGCCGCGUGAAGGAUGAAGGUCCUCUGGAUUGUAAACUUCUUUUAUAGGGGGCGAAAAAAGGUCUUCUAGAUCACUGACAKACCCCU
rnacentral:rRNA from 1 species